UUAUCCUACGGGGGGCAGCAGUGGGGAAUAUUGGACAAUGGGGGAAACCCUGAUGCAGCAACGCCGCGUGAGUGAAGAAGUCAUUCGUGAUGUAAAGCUCUAUCAGCAGGGAAGAAAAUGACGGUACCUGAGUAAGAAGCCCCGGCUAACUACGUGCCAGCAGCCGCGGUAAUACGUAGGGGGCAAGCGUUAUCCGGAUUUACUGGGUGUAAAGGGAGCGUAGACGGCGCGGCAAGUCUGAAGUGAAAGGCAGGGGCUUAACCCCUGAACUGCUUUGGAAACUGCCAUGCUAGAGUGCUGGAGAG
rnacentral:rRNA from 1 species